GAUGAAGAACGUAGCGAAAUGCGAUAAGUAAUGUGAAUUGCAGAAUUCAGUGAAUCAUCGAAUCUUUGAACGCACAUUGCGCCCGCUGGUAUUCCGGCGGGCAUGCCUGUUCGAGCGUCAUUUCAACCAUCAAGCCCCCGGGUUUGGUGUUGGGGAUCGGCUCUGCCCUUCUGGGCGGUGCCGCCCCCGAAAUACAUUGGCGGUCUCGCUGCAGCCUCCAUUGCGUAGUAGCUAACACCUCGCAACUGGAACGCGGCGCGGCCAUGCCGUAAAACCCCAACUUCUGAAUGUUGACCUCGGAUCAGGUAGGAAUACCCGCUGAACUUAAGCAUAUCAAUAAGCGGAGGA
rnacentral:misc_RNA from 1 species